rnacentral:lncRNA from 10 species
UUUGGAGAGACAGUGCUUCCAGUUGCAGCAAUGAAAUUCAGGACAAACACUAUAUUAUGCAUGAAGAUCACCACCUGGAGAUCUAAACUCUUCAUUCCAGACGUCGUAUUUGAAAAUGGAACUAGAGAAAAGUGUGGUUUAUUCAUUUUGUUAUUUUCUGUGGUGCUUGCACGGCUGUUUUGAAAGCCUACCGUAGGAGAGCUCAAUUAAGAGCCUUCAUAAUUUUCACCAGUUAACUUUGAUUAAAUAGGCUGUCUUGGAAGGGAAUUCAGUAAAUUUAGGCUAUAAAUUACCUACAGUGAGUUUUCAACUUUGGAAUUCUGAAAUAUUAGUGCUCGGACAGGCCAUUUCUUUCAGAAGGCUUGUACUUUACCUGCUGAUUUGGAACAAUUUUACUUGAUUUUAUUCGAGCAGAGAAGACAAGGGAAAAACUUCCUUCUACUGGUUGGAACAACAGGUCUCCUGCAGCACAUGUGGAAAAAAAGACAUUCUGCUUUCCACUGCAAGUUGGAUUAAUACAAGAGGUUAGAGGUUCCCUUUAACCAUGUUCUUUUAACUCAUUAUUACACUGAUUUUCAGGUCAUAUUUGUUGCCAAAGAUUAGAAAAAGGUGAUGAAAUGAACAGGUUCCUUCUGAUGUGUUGCUUCUUAGACAAGGACUUCAAAAUUCUUUGAGAUAAGCAAACUCUUACUGAGCAAAUGGGAAAACCAAGGCCAUUUCAGCUCAGGAUCAAUCAACCAAGGAGUUGAACCCCUUAUAAGAGACAUAUGGCAAAUAGCUGUUCACACCACUCAUUUCAGGAUAUUUUUACUGGUGGGGCUGAAAAAUCCAAUAAAAUCUGCAAGUAUCUAUACUGUAAAUUCUAUAGAGUAUAGUGAUAAUGAGUUUUAGUUUCCUGCUCUAUGACUUUAGGCAAGCUAUGUAUUUAUCCAAACCUCAGUUUUCCUUCUCUGUAAAAUGGGCUUAAGAACAGCACUCACCUCACUGGGAUUUUCUCUAGAUUCAAUGCGAUAGUGCAUUUAAGGCACUUACAUAGGG